AAAAUUUUACUUGUAAUUAUUUCCACACGCUCUAUGACAGCAUUGUCUUUGUCCUAUAAGACUUAGAGACGUAUGCUCCAGACGCUCCAACUCACUAAAGAAGAAAAAAAUUCUGACAAGAGCUGAGGGAACACAGAUGGUAUCCUGGCAGCUUACAAUCAAACAUUGUUAAACAAACACCUUCACCGUGUCCACAUAGUCGACCUUAAAGGAAUCAUAUUUAAAU